rnacentral:rRNA from 1 species
UACGUAGGGUGCGAGCGUUGCCCGGAUUUAUUGGGCGUAAAGGGCGCGUAGGCGGCUCUGCACGUCCGUUGUGAAAUCGCCCGGCUCAACUGGGCGGGGUCAGCGGAUACGGCGGAGCUUGAGCAAGCUAGGGGGCAAUGGAAUUCCCGGUGUAGUGGUGGAAUGCGUAGAUAUCGGAAGGAACGCCGGUGGCGAAAGCGGUCUGCUGGACCUCUUCUGACGCUGAGGCGCGAAAGCCAGGGGAGCAAACGGG